GUGAGGGAUGACGGCCUUCGGGUUGUAAACCUCUUUCAGCAGGGNAGAAGCGAAAGUGACGGUACCUGCAGAAGAAGCGCCGGCUAACUACGUGCCAGCAGCCGCGGUAAUACGUAGGGCGCAAACGUUAUCCGGAAUUACUGGGCGUAAAGAGCGUGUAGGCGGGUAAGUAAGUUGUCCGUGAAAGCUCCCGGCUAAACUGGGAGAGGUCGGAUAAGACUGCUUGCCUAGAGGGUGUUAGAGGGAUGCGGAAUUCCGGGUGUAGUGGUGAAAUGCGUAGAGAUCCGGAGGAACACCAGAGGCGAAGGCGGCAUCCUGGGACAUACCUGACGCUGAGACGCGAAAGCAUGGGGAGCGAACGGGAUUAGAGACCCCGGUAGUCCAUGCCGUAAACGAUGUUCACUAGAUGUUCGUGUGACUACGGUUGCAUGAGCGUCGAAGCUAACGCGCUAAGUGAACCGCCUGGGGAGUACGGUCGCAAGGCUA
rnacentral:rRNA from 1 species